AUAGGAAUAUGUUGAAAUUAUUGAUAUUUUUAAAGAUUUUAAAUAAUUUUUUUAGAAAUAUCAUAAAGAAUAAAAUAAAGUUAUUUUUUUAUUUUUAACAAAUAAAAAAUAAUUAGAUUUUUUAUGAAAAUUUUUAUUAUUAAAAUAUGAAAUACCACAAUAUAUUUUAAAUAACUUUAUUUUAUAAUAUAAAUAAACUUUCAAUAAGUAUAAUAAACUCUAAAUAUAUAGGAAUAUAUUGAAAUUAUUGAUAUUUUUAAAGAUUUUAAAUAAUUUUUUAGAAAUAUCAUAAAGAAUAAAAUAAAGUUAUUUUUAUUUUAACAAAUAAAAAAUAAUUAGAUUUUUUAUGAAAAUUUUUAUUAUUAAAAUAUGAAAUACCACAAUAUAUUUUAAAUAAUUUUAUUUUAUAAUAUAAAUAAACUUUCAAUAAGUAUAAUAAACUCUAAACAUAUACGAAAGCACGUGGCUGAGGAUAUAAAAAUGGAUAUGGUCGGAUAAUAUCUGAUGUAGACAAAUCUCUACCAUACCUUUCAAAUUUAGUGACUU
rnacentral:lncRNA from 1 species